rnacentral:tRNA from 1 species
AGGGUGCCGGGGCUUCUCCCGUUUUUUUCUUCGACGGGAGAAG